UAAAUAAAUUUAAUUUUUUUUAUUGGUAAUAUGAAUAAAAAUUUUAAGUUUUUUAUUUAUUUUAGUUUUAGAAUAAAUUCUUAGGUGUUGACAAAAACAAAAUAUAUUUUAGGUCAUUUUUUUUUUGAAACACAAUUUUUGGCCAUUAAAUUGGGUUUUGUUUAUAUUAAUGCUGGCACAUAUCAUUAGCUGUAUAUUGGAUUUCUAAUUAGCUUAAUAAUGUUAGCCCAAUUUAAUAACAGAAAGGUAGGCAAACGACUUUCCUCUUUCUAUCGACUUCUCAUUCUCCCAUAUUUUUUUCCUCUUUGCUGAACCCUAUUGCAUGUUGUUUGAUCCAUGAAACUGGAAAAUAUAUCUAUGGAAGAAGAUAUAAGAAAUCAGUUUGAUCUUUAGUUCUGCAGUCUCUUCUAUGAUCAAGAAUAAGAUCAGACAGUAGGAAUCCGGCUUAGUUAACAGAUAUAUAGGUUCGAUUGCAUGUAAUGAAUCAAUCGAAGUUCGAUUUGAUAUACUGUUCGAAAGAAGAAUCAAAAAAACAAAUUUAAGGCAGGAGUAGACAGAGCUGGUCUUAGUCAUCUUUUCAAGUGCAUGUCACGACGAAGUACCACUGCUGCUAGCAUUAACCAAAAGACGUCAGCUAAACCAAACUUAGUCAAUGCACUUGACAUCAAACAGGAGCAAAACACGGUUUGUGUUGGAACGUUAAGAGCUGAAGGGAUGGCAAUCACAUUGAUAAUAUUGGCUUACUAACUGCGUAAAUAGGGCUUGAGAUCGUCGAUAAAAACCAUAUUUCUUGGGGUAUCAUGCCAUUAUGAGUUGUAAAUGGAUGUUAGCUUCUUCUUAAUCGUCGGUAUAUAUAGAGAGGUAACUAUUUAUGGAGACUUGGAGAUAUAUUUCUUGCAGAAGUAAUUAAAAGACGUGGGAAGGAAGUUGAGCACAGAAAAUUAAGGUAAUAAUAUCUUGUAUAGAUUGCAACCGAGAUUAUAGCCAUUCAAACACUUUAUAUUGUUAUGAUAUUUUAAGGAAUCAAACGAGUUCGGUUAAUUUAAUUUUUGGGUUAGUUGUACAA